ACAAUUUAAUGUCUCAUAUACUAAAUGUUCACAAACAACAACAACCUCUUUUGCUAAAAGCAUCACAACAAGAAGGUUUAGCUGAACCCAAAGUAUAUUUAUUGACAGCUGGAUCUAUGCAGAUAUUGGAAAUAGUACAAUGGAAGGCACAAUAAAUAAAUCGGGUACAAAAACACAACAGCAGGUGUGGGCAAUGGUGGGAUGAACAAGAAAGUAAUUAAGCUGAUAAACUGAUGCAGGUAAACUCAAUUGAGAGUGAAGUGUGUAAAUAAACAGGCCAGCUAAGAUGUGAGCACAGAGGAGAUUGCUGGAGACUUGAGGUGAGUACAGGAGAUUAUUUGAGACUUAAACGUGAGUACAGGAGAUCGCUGGCGACUUGAGGUGAGUACAGGAGAUCGCUGGCGACUUGAGGUGAGUACAGGAGAUCAUUGGAGACUUGAGGUGAGUACAGGAGAUCAUUAGAGACUUGAGGUGAGUACAGGAGAUCAUUAGAGACUUGAGGUGAGUACAGAAGAUCACUGGAGACUUGAGGUGAGUACAGGAGAUCAUUGGAGACUUGAGGUGAGUACAGGAGAUCAUUAGAGACUUGAGGUGAGUACAGAAGAUCACUGGAGACUUGAGGUGAGUACAGGAGAUCGCUGGCGACUUGAGGUGAGUACAGGAGAUCGCUGGCGACUUGAGGUGAGUACAGGAGAUCGCUGGCGACUUGAGGUGAGUACAGGAGAUCACUGGAGACUUGAGGUGAGUACAGGAGAUCAUUAGAGACUUGAGGUGAGUACAGGAGAUCGCUGGCGACUUGAGGUGAGUACAGGAGAUCGCUGGAGACUUGAGGUGAGUACAGGAGAUCAUUAGAGACUUGAGGUGAGUACAGGAGAUCAUUAGAGACUUGAAGGUGAGUACAGAAGAUCGCUGGCGACUUGAGGUGAGUACAGGAGAUCACUGGAGACUUGAGGUGAGUACAGGAGAUCAUUAGAGACUUGAGGUGAGUACAGGAGAUCGCUGGCGACUUGAGGUGAGUACAGGAGAUCGCUGGAGACUUGAGGUGAGUACAGGAGAUCAUUAGAGACUUGAGGUGAGUACAGGAGAUCAUUAGAGACUUGAAGGUGAGUACAGAAGAUCGCUGGCGAUUUGAGGUGAGUACAGGAGAUCAUUAGAGACUUGAGGUGAGUACAGGAGAUCGCUGGCGACUUGAGGUGAGUACAGGAGAUCAUUGGAGACUUGAGGUGAGUACAGGAGAUCAUUAGAGACUUGAGGUGAGUACAGGAGAUCAUUAGAGACUUGAAGGUGAGUACAGAAGAUCGCUGGCGACUUGAGGUGAGUACAGGAGAUCAUUGGAGACUUGAGGUGAGUACAGAAGAUCGCUGGCAACUUGAGGUGAGCACAGGAGAUCAUUGGAGACUUGAGGUGAGCACAGGAGAUCAUUGGAGACUUAAGGUGAGUACAGGAGAUCAUUGGAGACUUGAGGUGAAUACAGGAGAUCGAAGAUUUUCACAUGUAACACAAUAAUGGCUUUAAAAGAUCUAUUGUGGGUAACUAAAUGUGCGAUUAAUAUUUGAUUAAUUACAUUGUUUAAUUGCCAAACUAUGUAAUUAAUUAGAUUAAAAAAAUAAUAAUUGACAGCCCUAGUAGAAAUACUUUGAACUCAAUAGUCUCCAGUGACUUAUUAAUAAUAAGAUGUAUAAUAAUACAAAAGCAGGACUUCCUAUCAGAAGCCAGUGUCUCAGAGAAUUGGUAGUUUUUGCAUUACAGCUUGAUGAAGCACCUCAGUGGGUGAUGGAUGGGCGUCUGUGUUCAGUUUCCCACGGGAUCACUGUCUUGGAUGGUGAUGUUGAGUGGUGUCCCUCCACACCAUAUCUAUGGGAAGGAACCAAGGUGUCCGGUGGGGUGAUGCUCUCACUCACCCUUACUCAGCUGAGUCACUCUUACCAUAGCGAAUACCUGCUUUAUAUCUCUCACUGACAGUGAAGAUCAAUAGUGAAUGCCUCGCUCGGUGGGUGACGGUUGGGGUCCAGUUCAGCUUCUCGUGGGAGACUAACACGUGUUUGUGUUAGGAGGUGUUUUGCUAAAUAAUAAAUAAAUAAAUCAGGUAAAAAAACACAACAGCAGGUGUGGGCAAUGGUGGGAUGAACAAGAAAGUAAUUAAGCUGAUAAACUGAUGCAGGUAAACUCAAUUGAGAGUGAAGUGUGCGAAUAAACAGUCCAGCUCAGUUGUGAGCACAGAGGAGAUUUCUGGCGACUUGAGGUGAGUACAGGAGAUUGCUGGAGACUUGAGGUGAGUACAGGAGAUUAUUCGAGACUUAAAGGUGAGUACAGGAGAUCGCUGGUGACCUGAGGUGAGUACAGGAGAUCGCUGGUGACUUGAGGUGAGUACAGGAGAUCAUUGGAGACUUGAGGUGAGUACAGGAGAUUGCUGGAGACUUGAGGUGAGUACAGGAGAUUAUUUGAGACUUAAAGGUGAGUACAGGAGAUCGCUGGUGACCUGAGGUGAGUACAGGAGAUCGCUGGUGACUUGAGGUGAGUACAGGAGAUUGCUGGAGACUUGAGGUGAGUACAGGAGAUUAUUCGAGACUUAAAGGUGAGUACAGGAGAUCGCUGGUGACCUGAGGUGAGUACAGGAGAUCGCUGGUGACCUGAGGUGAGUACAGGAGAUCGCUGGUGACUUGAGGUGAGUACAGGAGAUCGUUGGCGACUUGAGGUAAGUACAGUUGAGGUGAGUACAGGAGAUCAUUGGAGACUUGAAGGUGAGUACAGGAGAUCAUUGGAGACUUGAAGGGGAGUACAGUUGAGGUGAGUACAGGAGAUCAUUGGAGACUUGAGCUGAGUACAGGAGAUCAUUGGAGACUUGAAGGUGAGUACAGGAGAUCGAAGAUUUUCGCAUGUAACACAAUAAUGGCUGUAAAAGAUCUAUUGUGGGUAAUUAAAUGUGCGAUUAAUAUGUGAUUAAUUUGAUUAUUUAAUUGCCAAACUAUGUAAUCAAUUAAAUAAAUAAUAAUUGACAGCCCUAGUAGAAAUACUUUGAACUCAAUAGUCUCCAGUGACUUAUUAAUAAUAAGAUGUAUAAAAAUACAAGAGCAGGAUGUCCUAUCAGAAGCCAGUGUCUGAGAGAAUUGGUAGUUUUUGCAUUACAGCUUCAUCACAGAGCUUGAUGAAGCACCUCAGUGGUUGAUGGAUGGGCGUCUGUGUUCAGUUUCCCACGGGAUCACUGUCUUGGAUGGUGAUGUUGAGUGGUGUCCCUCCACACCAUAUCUAUGGGAAGGAACCAAGGUGUCCGGUGGGGUGAUGCUCUCACUCGCCCUUGCUCAGCUGAGUCACUCUUACCAUAGCGAAUACCUGCUUUAUAUCUCUCACUGACAGUGAAGAUCAAUAGUGAAUGCCUCGCUCGGUGGGUGACGGUUGGGGUCCAGUUCAGCUUCUCGUGGGAGACUAACACGUGUUUGGGUGGUGUUUUGCUAAACUUGGUGGAGCUAGAAGGAGGCCAACACCUCCUGUGUGGUGGUGCAUGAGAAAUAACAACAACAUCAAUAAUAAUAUAUUUGCUGGAGACUUGAGGUGAGUACAGGAGAUUGCUGGAGACUUGAGGUGAGUACAGGAGAUUGCUGGAGACUUGAGGUGAGUACAGGAGAUUGCUGGAGACUUGAGGUGAGUACAGGAGAUUAUUUGAGACUUAAAGGUGAGUACAGGAGUUCACUGGUGACUUGAGGUGAGUACAGGAGAUCAUUAGAGACUUGAAGGUGAGUACCGGAGAUUGCUUGCGACUUAAGGUGAGUACAGGAGAUUGUUGGAGACUUGAGGAGAGUACAAGAGAUCGCUGGAGACUUGAAGGUGAGUACAGUUGAGGUGAGUAAAGGAGGUUGUUGGAGACUUGAGGUGAGAACAGGAGAUUGCUGGAGAUUUGAAGGUGAGUACAAGAGAUCGCCUGAGAGUUGAGGUGAGUAAAGGAAUUCGUUAGAGACUUGAGGUGAGUACAGGAGAUUGCUGGAGACUUGAGGUGAGUACAGUUGAGGUGAGUAAAGGAGGUUGUUGGAGACUUGAGGUGAGAACAGGAGAUUGCUGGAGAUUUGAAGGUGAGUACAGGAGAUCGCCAGAGGCUUGAGGUGAGUACAAGAGAUCGCCUGAGAGUUGAGUUGAGUAAAGGAAUUCGUUAGAGACUUGAGGUGAGUACAGGAGAUUGCUGGAGACUUGAGGUGAGUACAGGAGAUCGCUGGAGACUUGGGGUUGAGCACAGGAGAUUUCUGGAGAUUUGAAGGCGAGUACAGGAAAUUGCUGGCGACUUUAGGUGAGUACAGGAGAUCACCGGAGACUUGAGGUGAUUACAGGAGAUAGUUAGAGACUUGAGGUGAGUACAGUUGAGGUGAGUACAGGAGAUAGCUGGAGACUUGAGGUGAAUGGUAAAUGGUAGUGUGUGUAUAUAUAAGUACAGUAAUUAAUUUUGGAAUGUCUUUGAAGGACAUUGGUGAAGAGUUCUGGAGCGCAAUCUCAGUGGGUUGAAGAGGACAAGGAUCUCUUUGAGAAGGGACUGGCGCAGUUUGGCCGCAGGUGAAAAAAGAUUGCCAAACUAUUCGGCACUAGGACAGUUCUACAGGCAACGAGCUAUGCUAGGGAGUGCUUAAAAAAUAAGUGACCCAGAUUCAGUCCAGAUGCUGGAUCAGCACCUAGAGAUGACUGCAUGUCAGAGGAGACCAUGUCAACUGGAUGAGCCCCGAAAACAGAUCUCUAGUAAAGACCUCAUCAUAUAUAGGACCAUUGGCACAAAACCUCUGCAAAGACCACGAUAAAAAACAUGUUGGUUCGUCUGGCCAGAGGAGACCUGGCCCCCUGACUGAGUCUGGUUCCUCCCAAAGUGUUUUUUUCCAUUUCUGUUGCCUUUGGCUUGCAUAGUUGGGGUCACUGCUCGGACACUGUUUGAAGAGAACUGAACUGAGCUGGAUGAUGAUGACAUCACUGAGUCAACAAUCUACUGACUUUUACUGAAAUAUUGACUGUUAACUUUUGACCCCUUUCUAGAGCUGUUUUACAGCAUAACUGAAUUUUGCUUGCAUUAUCGGCACACUGUUUUCCUGUUUAAAAAAUGCUUUGACACAAUCUGUAUUGUAUAAAGAACUUUAUAUAUAAAUAAGGUUGAGUUGAGUAGAUUUGAUGAUUCUUCAUAGAAAUGUUUUUGUGCUGUCUGUUUUUAAUAAUUUUGUAUUUUUGGGAAUUUUAUUAGUAGCCUUCAAUUUUCAUUUUUUUUAAGAAGUUUAUAAAAUAAGGUUACAUCAAAUCAGUCAAGUUAAUUGUGAUUUACACGUACAAUACGUUUUUUCAAGGCAUUGGGUUUCCUCAAUUUAAGUAUAAUUUGACAGUAAUCAAAUUGACUUCAGUAGAUUCACACUUUUAAGUAAUCGCAAUUUAAUAAGUUUAAGUUCGAUCAACUUAAAAUAAAAAGUGACUUGUAUGAGUUUCAGUAACUUAUUUGUCAAUGUAACUCAGAAUUUUCAAGUUCAUUUAACUGAUUUCUUUAAUUAAGACUACAGUAUAAAGCACAUUGUACAUCCCUGUGUAUCUUAAUAUUUAACACUACAGUUUACUUUCAUGCACAUUAUUUUGUUUUCUAUAUUUAAUUAUACAAUACACAUCUUUUUUAUAUUUUAUUCUUAUAUUUUUAUUGUUAACUUUUCAUAGCUUUAUUUAUGUAUAUUUUCAUCUGUGUUGUAUUCUUUAAUAAUUGCACUGUCCAUGGAGCGGACCUGACUCAUAUUUCACUGCUGAUUAUAUAUGCUCUGUAUAUAAUUGUGUCUGUGACGAAUAAAAAUUCUUGAAUCUUGACGUUUAUUUGA